rnacentral:rRNA from 1 species
AUGAACGCUGGCGGCGUGCCUAACACAUGCAAGUCGAACGGAGAUUUAACGCUGAUGAGGCUUCGGCGGAUUCUGUUAAAUCUUAGUGGCGGACGGGUGAGUAACGCGUGGGCAACCUGCCUCAUACUGGGGGAUAACAGUUGGAAACGACUGUUAAUACCGCAUAAGCGCACUAAAGUCGCAUGACUCAGUGUGAAAAACUCCGGUGGUAUGAGAUGGGCCCGCGUCAGAUUAGCUAGUUGGUGGGGUAAAGGCCUACCAAGGCGACGAUCUGUAGCCGGACUGAGAGGUCGGACGGCCACAUUGGGACUGAGACACGGCCCAAACUCCUACGGGAGGCAGCAGUGGGGGAUAUUGCACAAUGGAGGAAACUCUGAUGCAGCGACGCCGCGUGAAGUGAAGAAGUAUUUCGGUAUGUAAAGCUCUAUCAGCAGGGAAGAAAGGCUCGUAAGAGAGAUGACGGUACCUGACUAAGAAGCCCCGGCUAACUACGUGCCAGCAGCUGC